GGGUUGUGAGGUUAAGCGACUAAGCGUACACGGUGGAUGCCCUGGCAGUCAGAGGCGAUGAAGGGCGUACUAAUCUGCGAUAAGCGCCGGUAAGGUGAUAUGAACCGUUAUAACCGGCGAUACCCGAAUGGGGAAACCCAGUGUGAUUCGUCACACUAUCAUUAACUGAAUCCAUAGGUUAAUGAGGCGAACCGGGGGAACUGAAACAUCUAAGUACCCCGAGGAAAAGAAAUCAACCGAGAUUCCCCCAGUAGCGGCGAGCGAACGGGGAGGAGCCCAGAGCCUGAAUCAGCAUGUGUGUUAGUGGAAGCGUCUGGAAAGGCGCGCGAUACAGGGUGACAGCCCCGUACACAAAAGCGCAUGUGCUGUGAGCUCGAUGAGUAGGGCGGGACACGUGGUAUCCUGUCUGAAUAUGGGGGGACCAUCCUCCAAGGCUAAAUACUCCUGACUGACCGAUAGUGAACCAGUACCGUGAGGGAAAGGCGAAAAGAACCCCGGCGAGGGGAGUGAAAAAGAACCUGAAACCGUGUACGUACAAGCAGUGGGAGCACCCUUUGGGUGUGACUGCGUACCUUUUGUAUAAUGGGUCAGCGACUUAUAUUCUG
rnacentral:rRNA from 1 species